GAUGAACGCUAGCUACAGGCUUAACACAUGCAAGUCGAGGGGAAACGAUAGAGAAAGCUUGCUUUUUCUAGGCGUCGACCGGCGCACGGGUGAGUAACGCGUAUCCAACCUGCCCACCACUUGGGGAUAACCUUGCGAAAGUAAGACUAAUACCCAAUGACGUCUCUAGAAGACAUCUGAAAGAGAUUAAAGAUUUAUCGGUGAUGGAUGGGGAUGCGUCUGAUUAGCUUGUUGGCGGGGUAACGGCCCACCAAGGCGACGAUCAGUAGGGGUUCUGAGAGGAAGGUCCCCCACAUUGGAACUGAGACACGGUCCAAACUCCUACGGGAGGCAGCAGUGAGGAAUAUUGGUCAAUGGACGAGAGUCUGAACCAGCCAAGUAGCGUGCAGGAUGACGGCCCUAUGGGUUGUAAACUGCUUUAUAAGGGAAUAAAGUGAGUCUCGUGAGACUUUUUGCAUGUACCUUAUGAAUAAGGACCGGCUAAUUCCGUG
rnacentral:rRNA from 1 species